rnacentral:rRNA from 2 species
AACGGCGAGUGAAGCGGCAAAAGCUCAAAUUUGAAAUCUGGCCCCGUCAGGAGCCCGAGUUGUAAUUUGGAGAGGACACUUUCGGGUGUGGGCCGCGGCGUAAGUCCCUUGGAACACGGGCGUCAUAGAGGGUGAGAAUCCCCGUCUUGCGCCGCCGGACCACGCCCAUGCGAAGUUCCUUCGACGAGUCGAGUUGUUUGGGAAUGCAGCUCUAAGUGGGUGGUAAAUUUCAUCUAAAGCUAAAUAUUGGCCAGAGACCGAUAGCGAACAAGUAGAGUGAUCGAAAGGUUAAAAGCACCUUGAAAAGGGAGUUAAAUAGCACGUGAAAUUGUUGAAAGGGAAGCGCUUGCAACCAGACUCGGUCGCGGGGGCUCAGCGGGCAUGCUUGCCCGUGUACUCCCCCGCGUUCGGGCCAGCAUCGGUUCCGGCGGUUGGUCAAAGGCCCCUGGAAUGUGUCGUCCUCCGGGACGUGUUAUAGCCAGGGGCGCAAUGCUGCCAGCCGGGACCGAGGAACGCGCUUCGGCACGGAUGCUGGCAUAAUGGUUGUAAGCGGCCCGUCUUGAAACACGGACCAAGGAGUCUAACAUCCACGCGAGUGUUCGGGUGUCAAACCCGUGCGCGCAGUGAAAGCGAACGGAGGUAGGAGCCCUCACGGGUGCACCAUCGACCGAUCCUGAAGUCUUCGGAUGGAUUUGAGUAGGAGCGUGGCUGUUGGGACCCGAAAGAUGGUGAACUAUGCCUGAAUAGGGUGAAGCCAGAGGAAACUCUGGUGGAGGCUCGCAGCGGUUCUGACGUGCAAAUCGAUCGUCAAAUUU